rnacentral:lncRNA from 1 species
GGCAAAGGCUGCAGUAUUCUGCCCAGUGUGAGUCACGCUGACUGGCCUCUGGAAGACGUGUUCCAUGAGGAACCACUGCGAGGUCCCUCGCCCACAAUCCCAUGGUGGCAGGGACAGCAGCAGGGGUUCCGGUCCAGAGCCCUCCUUCCACUGUACCACUUCAGAGACAUCCUGAAAGGGAUGGUGUGGGGGUGUGGUGAGAGGGAGAAGAGGCGGGGAGGCAGGAAGAGCAGUGAGGAAGCUGUGGAGAGGGAGGCUGACAGUCAGGAGCAGUGGGAAUGAGGGCAGGGAAUGGUGUGGAGAAAUGUUUAGAGGUGGCGUCCCUGGGACGUGCCCAAGUGAGGAACACAAGAGGAGGCACGGGUAUGGGGUAAAAUGACACGUGAGCUUGGGUUGAGACCUGUUGCACCAGAGGUGCCUAUGGGACAUCAAGGUGACAACGGCUUAUGGGUAGAGCUCUGGAGGGAGAUCUGGGUUAGAGGGAGAGAGGGAUUUGGGAACAGCAGCCUUGGCUGUGAGAUUGGAUGGGCUGUUAGGGGAAAGAGGGUGUCAGGGGUCAGAUCCUGAUUCACGGGAGAGCCACAGCCCCAAGAGAGAAUAUUCAGGGUCAGGCUGCUGGUUCCAGAAGAGUUAAGUCAUAAGGCCCCUCAGUCCCCACAACCCUCCCCCCAGGAGCCAGCGGUGACAGCUGAGGCCAUGUGAGUCGGAUCCUGAAUGAGGCUUUAUCUCUGGGUCUUCAUCCAGUCCCAUCGUCCACCGUGGCACCAGCUCCCUCGGCCAGCUGGGAUGGAACAGGCAACCGAAAAAGGCAGAGCCAGAGAGGUGAUGCUGACUAUCCCCUGGACCGUGAGAGGAACAGGACUCUGGGCCUCUAGCUGCCACGCAGGUGGUGGGGGCUCCAGGCUGUGAUCAGUGCCUCUGACCACUGACGCUGCCCUCUGCCCU